AUUGAACGCUGGCGGCAGGCCUAACACAUGCAAGUCGGACGGUAGCACAGAGGAGCUUGCUCCUUGGGUGACGAGUGGCGGACGGGUGAGUAAUGUCUGGGGAUCUGCCCGAUAGAGGGGGAUAACCACUGGAAACGGUGGCUAAUACCGCAUAACGUCGCAAGACCAAAGAGGGGGACCUUCGGGCCUCUCACUAUCGGAUGAACCCAGAUGGGAUUAGCUAGUAGGCGGGGUAAUGGCCCACCUAGGCGACGAUCCCUAGCUGGUCUGAGCGGAGGACCAGCCACACUGGAACUGAGACACGGUCCAGACUCCUACGGGAGGCAGCAGUGGGGAAUAUUGCACAAUGGGCGCAAGCCUGAUGCAGCCAUGCCGCGUGGAUGAAGAAGGCCUUCGGGUUGUAAAGUACUUUCAGCGGGGAGGAAGGCGGUGAGGUUAAUAACCUCGCCGAUUGACGUUACCCGCAGAAGAAGCACCGGCUAACUCCGUGCCAGCAGCCGCAGUAA
rnacentral:rRNA from 1 species